GUCAACGGCUGUCAUCCCAUCCUGGCCAAAAGAGGACGAAGGUUAAGGUUACUGACUGCAAGUCAUCGGCCUACAACUUAGAGGUUUUGUUUGUUAUUGCUACGACCUUCAACGACUGCUGUCAUCCCAUCCUGGCCAAAAGAGGACGAAGGUUAAGGUUACUGACUGCAAGUCAUCGGCCUACAACUUAGAGGUUUUGUUUGUUAUUGCUACGACCUUCAACGACUGCUGUCAUCCCAUCCUGGCCAAAAGAGGACGAAGGUGCGAGAAUAUGGC